AUGCGAAUCUCGAAAGCCUGUCUCAGUUCGGAUUGGAGGCUGAAACCCGCCUCCAUGAAGUUGGAUUCGCUAGUAAUCGCGCAUCAGCCAUGGCGCGGUGAAUACGUUCCCGGGCCUUGUACACACCGCCCGUCAAGCCAUGGGAGCCGGGGGUGCCUGAAGUUCGUGACCGCAAGGAGCGACCUAGGGCAAAACUGGUGACUGGGGCUAAGUCGUAACAAGGUACC
rnacentral:rRNA from 1 species